rnacentral:lncRNA from 1 species
AAGUGUUUAAGGGUAUAAUCUCUACCAGUUCUUGUCAUACCCUAUGCGGCAAUAGUCUCUUCAAACCUGACCUUUCCUUUCAUCCUUGCCUCGGCUGUAUAAUCCUAUGGUAUAUCGUUUGUAUAGAAUGGCAUCACAGUCGACAUCUCAGCAUUAUAGGCUUGGUAGACAUGUGCGGGUUGGGAAUAUCUGGGUGAAGUGGGUUGAUAUGCGGGAGGUGGAGGUGAUUGAUAAUUCGGUGAUGGAGUUUGGUAAGAGGGUGAGGGUGCUUGGUAGUUCGGGGUAGGCUAAUAUGUGAGUGGAGGCAUCAGGUAAGUUUUGUAUUUGAUGAGAUAUUUUGUUCUUUGUUAAACCAGACUAUAAGGCCUUAUUUGUAGCUUGAAAGGCCUCGAAGUUUCUAACCAUACCGCUUUUGAUGCCCUCUUCUAUCCUUUCCCCAUGCUUGAUAAUGUCAAAAAAUUUGUGGCUCUCAAUCAUCAUUGUCUUUCCAUAAUACUGCGGGUCCUGAGUCCAGACAUAGAAUCUGUUUAUUUGUUCCUCCUCUAAGGCAGGUCUGACCUUUGCAGCUUUGGACCUCUAGCGAGU